rnacentral:rRNA from 1 species
UAUUGUGGCGGACGGGUGAGUAACACGUGGGAACGUGCCCUUUGGUUCGGAACAACUCAGGGAAACUUGAGCUAAUACCGGAUGUGCCCUUCGGGGGAAAGAUUUAUCGCCAUUGGAGCGGCCCGCGUCUGAUUAGCUAGUUGGUGAGGUAAAGGCUCACCAAGGCGACGAUCAGUAGCUGGUCUGAGAGGAUGAUCAGCCACAUUGGGACUGAGACACGGCCCAAACUCCUACGGGAGGCAGCAGUGGGGAAUCUUGCGCAAUGGGCGAAAGCCUGACGCAGCCAUGCCGCGUGAAUGAUGAAGGUCUUAGGAUUGUAAAAUUCUUUCACCGGGGACGAUAAUGACGGUACCCGGAGAAUAAGCCCCGGCUAACUUCGUGCCAGCAGCCGCGGUAAUACGAAGGGGGCUAGCGUUGCUCGGAAUUACUGGGCGUAAAGGGAGCGUAGGCGGACUGUUUAGUCAGAGGUGAAAGCCCAGGGCUCAACCUUGGAAUUGCCUUUGAUACUGGCAGUCUUGAAUACUGAAGAGGUAUGUGGAACUCCGAGUGUAGAGGUGAAAUUCGUAGAUAUUCGGAAGAACACCAGUGGCGAAGGCGACAUACUGGUCCGUUUACUGACG